rnacentral:ncRNA from 1 species
GCAAACGCUAAGAACAGGAGUAGUAAGGCUAAUCCGGGUUUAGAGAGCUGCGGGAAGGUGCAACGCAGUCGAAGGAUACCUGAAACUCGCCUGGGAGCGGAGUAGCGGAUAAGCGCGGCUGGCCAUGGAAAGCCCGCAAGUACGUUGCUACGGUUAACCCCCGUAACGGGGUGCGCAUUCGUCAACAUCCGGAGUUGGCAAUGUGCCUAAGGUGGACAUUCGAAGCUGUUUAACUACAGCGGUUAAUGUCAACAAGGGUGGUACCGCGCAGGUUAAUGAUAGCCUGUCGUCUCUUGA